rnacentral:rRNA from 1 species
AGAGUUUGAUCAUGGCUCAGGAUGAACGCUGGCGGCGUGCUUAACACAUGCAAGUCGAACGGGAUCCUGCAAGCUUGCUUGCGGGUGAGAGUGGCGAACGGGUGAGUAAUGCGUGACCAACCUGCCCCAUGCUCCGGAAUAGCUCCUGGAAACGGGUGGUAAUGCCGGAUGCUCCCGCGCCCCGCAUGGGGUGUGGGGAAAGCUUUCGUGGCAUGGGAUGGGGUCGCGUCCUAUCAGCUUGUUGGCGGGGUGAGGGCCCACCAAGGCGUUGACGGGUAGCCGGCCUGAGAGGGCGACCGGCCACAUUGGGACUGAGAUACGGCCCAGACUCCUACGGGAGGCAGCAGUGGGGAAUAUUGCACAAUGGGCGCAAGCCUGAUGCAGCGACGCCGCGUGCGGGAUGGAGGCCUUCGGGUUGUAAACCGCUUUUGUUUGGGAGCAAGCCCUUCGGGGUGAGUGUACCUUUCGAAUAAGCACCGGCUAACUACGUGCCAGCAGCCGCGGUAAUACGUAGGGUGCGAGCGUUAUCCGGAAUUAUUGGGCGUAAAGGGCUCGUAGGCGGUUCGUCGCGUCCGGUGUGAAAGUCCAUCGCUUAACGGUGGAUCCGCGUCGGGUACGGGCGGGCUGGAGUGCGGUAGGGGAGACUGGAAUUCCCGGUGUAACGGUGGAAUGUGUAGAUAUCGGGAAGAACACCAAUGGCGAAGGCAGGUCUCUGGGCCGUUACUGACGCUGAGGAGCGAAAGCGUGGGGAGCGAACAGGAUUAGAUACCCUGGUAGUCC